rnacentral:lncRNA from 1 species
AGCAGAUCUGCCUCCAGGUCAGGAAGAAAGCACCAGGAGAGGUGUACAGCCCUGUAACACCUGCAGACAUUUUCAUCUGCACAGGAGAAAUGUUUCUUCAGAACUGCAUCGAGAGGGAUACAGUAAAAACACUUCUAACCCGAUACAGAUGAAAGGCAUCAAAAUCCUCGGGACAGGUAUCGGCUGCCUCUGCUAAAACCCUUUUCGGAAAAUUUCAGUGGCUGAUAACCCUCAGCCUCAUAGAAAUAUAUAUACAUGCUUAUUAAGAAGCCCGCAGUUUAACCAAUGCAUGGCACAUCAGCCCCGCACGGAUGCAUUUCAUUCAGUUAUUCUGCCUUUGGAGAUAUAAUUUACGUGGCUGUCCUCUCACGAGCAAAUCUUUCGAUGGAGCUGUGAGAGAGAACUUCAGUUGUAAAAAGAGAAUAAAAGUAAUGAACGCUCGGCUUCCACUGCCCUCCC